CGGGGCCCUUAGACAUGUCGAGCGCGUUCGUUCCUAGCCCAGCUUGCUGGGCGGAUUAGUGGCGAACGGGUGAGUAAUACGUGAGUAACCUGCCCUUGACUCUGGGAUAAGCCUGGGAAACUGGGUCUAAUACUGGAUACUACCUCUCAUCGCAUGGUGGGUGGUGGAAAGGGUUUUACUGGUUUUGGAUGGGCUCACGGCCUAUCAGCUUGUUGGUGGGGUAAUGGCUCACCAAGGCGACGACGGGUAGCCGGCCUGAGAGGGUGACCGGCCACACUGGGACUGAGACACGGCCCAGACUCCUACGGGAGGCAGCAGUGGGGAAUAUUGCACAAUGGGCGCAAGCCUGAUGCAGCGACGCCGCGUGAGGGAUGACGGCCUUCGGGUUGUAAACCUCUUUCAGUAGGGAAGAAGCGAAAGUGACGGUACCUGCAGAAGAAGCGCCGGCUAACUACGUGCCAGCAGCCGCGGUAAUACGUAGGGCGCAAGCGUUGUCCGGAAUUAUUGGGCGUAAAGAGCUCGUAGGCGGUUUGUCGCGUCUGCUGUGAAAGCCCGGGGCUCAACCCCGGGUCUGCAGUGGGUACGGGCAGACUAGAGUGCAGUAGGGGAGACUGGAAUUCCUGGUGUAGCGGUGAAAUGCGCAGAUAUCAGGAGGAACACCGAUGGCGAAGGCAGGUCUCUGGGCUGUUACUGACGCUGAGGAGCGAAAGCAUGGGGAGCGAACAGGAUUAGAUACCCUGGUAGUCCAUGCCGUAAACGUUGGGCACUAGGUGUGGGGGACAUUCCACGUUUUCCGCGCCGUAGCUAACGCAUUAAGUGCCCCGCCUGGGGAGUACGGCCGCAAGGCUAAAACUCAAAGGAAUUGACGGGGGCCCGCACAAGCGGCGGAGCAUGCGGAUUAAUUCGAUGCAACGCGAAGAACCUUACCAAGGCUUGACAUUCACCGGACCGCCCCAGAAGAUGGGGUUUCCCUUCGGGGCUGGUGGACAGGUGGUGCAUG
rnacentral:rRNA from 1 species